CAGGCUCAGCUGAAGGUUGGACUGCAGUAUGUACUCCCUUUUGUGUCUUCUCCUGGCCACCCUCUUAGAGGUUGGUGUUGGGGCUCAGAAAAUCCACCAAUGGCCAACCACCAAGCUGCAGGUUGAAGGGAGCCAGCUUCUCCUGGAGUGUUCCACAGAAGGGACAUCAGAUCCCAAUCUCUACUGGUAUCAUCAGCCCCUAGGUGGGGUUCUACAGUUGCUGUCCUACUCCCUAAGCCUAAACCAGGUGGAGGAUACGAUGCCCCAACGUUUCUCAGGCAAGCGAACUCCGAAGGGCCAUUUCCAGCUCAGCUCCCAGAAACUCCUUGUCACCGACUCAGGUUCCUAUCUCUGUGCCUGGAGCCUCACACUGAACUGA